rnacentral:rRNA from 1 species
UGCGAUGACAACAUCACCCGGAAUGUGCCCAGUCUCACUAGAUCUCGGAAGCUAAGCAGGGUAGAGGCUGGUUUAGUUUGGGGGUGGGUGACCGCCACGCACAGCCGGUUGCGAUAGGUU